AGGUCCGUGGCUCAAUUGGUAGAGCAUCGGUCUCCAAAACCGAGGGUUGGGGGUUCAAGUCCCUUCGGACCUGCCA
rnacentral:tRNA from 1 species